rnacentral:rRNA from 1 species
AUUGAACGCUGGCGGCAUGCCUUACACAUGCAAGUCGAACGGCAGCACGGGAGCUUGCUCCUGGUGGCGAGUGGCGAACGGGUGAGUAAUACAUCGGAACGUACCCUGAAGUGGGGGAUAACGUAGCGAAAGUUACGCUAAUACCGCAUAUUCUGUGAGCAGGAAAGAGGGGGGAUCGCAAGACCUCUUGCUUUAGGAGCGGCCGAUGUCGGAUUAGCUAGUUGGUGAGGUAAAGGCUCACCAAGGCGACGAUCCGUAGCGGGUCUGAGAGGAUGAUCCGCCACACUGGGACUGAGACACGGCCCAGACUCCUACCGGGAGGCAGCAGUGGGGAAUUUUGGACAAUGGGCGCAAGCCUGAUCCAGCCAUGCCGCGUGA